rnacentral:rRNA from 1 species
CCCAACACACAAAACAAGCGGUGAGUGCUUUGGGGUGGGGUGACUGCGUACCUUUUGUAUAAUGGGUCAGCGACUUAUAUUCUGUAGCAAGGUUAACCGUAUAGGGGAGCCGAAGGGAAACCGAGUCUUAACUGGGCGUUAAGUUGCAGGGUAUAGACCCGAAACCCGGUGAUCUAGCCAUGGGCAGGUUGAAGGUUGGGUAACACUAACUGGAGGACCGAACCGACUAAUGUUGAAAAAUUAGCGGAUGACUUGUGGCUGGGGGUGAAAGGCCAAUCAAACCGGGAGAUAGCUGGUUCUCCCCGAAAGCUAUUUAGGUAGCGCCUCGUGAACUCAUCUUCGGGGGUAGAGCACUGUUUCGGCUAGGGGGUCAUCCCGACUUACCAACCCGAUGCAAACUGCGAAUACCGAAGAAUGUUAUCACGGGAGACACACGGCGGGUGCUAACGUCCGUCGUGAAGAGGGAAACAACCCAGACCGCCAGCUAAGGUCCCAAAGUCACAGUUAAGUGGGAAACGAUGUGGGAAGGCUCAGACAGCCAGGAUGUUGGCUUAGAAGCAGCCAUCAUUUAAAGAAAGCGUAAUAGCUCACUGGUCGAGUCGGCCUGCGCGGAAGAUGUAACGGGGCUAAACUGUGCACCGAAGCUGCGGCAGCGACGCUUAUGCGUUGUUGGGUAGGGGAGCGUUCUGUAAGCCUGCGAAGGUGUCCUGUGAGGGAUGCUGGAGGUAUCAGAAGUGCGAAUGCUGACAUAAGUAACGAUAAUGCGGGUGAAAAGCCCGCUCGCCGGAAGACCAAGGGUUCCUGUCCAACGUUAAUCGGGGCAGGGUGAGUCGACCCCUAAGGCGAGGCCGAAAGGCGUAGUCGAUGGGAAACGGGUUAAUAUUCCCGUACUUGGUGUUACUGCGAAGGGGGGACGGAGAAGGCUAUGUUGGCCGGGCGACGGUUGUCCCGGUUUAAGCGUGUAGGCUGGUUUUCCAGGCAAAUCCGGAAAAUCAAGGCUGAGGCGUGAUGACGAGGCACUACGGUGCUGAAGCAACAAAUGCCCUGCUUCCAGGAAAAGCCUCUAAGCAUCAGGUAACAUCAAAUCGUACCCCAAACCGACACAGGUGGUCAGGUAGAGAAUACCAAGGCGCUUGAGAGAACUCGGGUGAAGGAACUAGGCAAAAUGGUGCCGUAACUUCGGGAGAAGGCACGCUGACACGUAGGUGAAGUGAUUUACUCA